GAGUCACAGGGCCCUGGUUAGCGCUUUCCUGGCCUAGAAGUGUAUAUGUCUGUGUCUGUUGGUGAGACAGAGGACGUGGGCGCCCGCCGAAGAGAAGGCGCCUAGGCGCUGUCCGUAGUGCUGAAAUGGUGCGUGGUGAGACCUGUCUCCCCAACACAAGCUAGAAGGCAACAAAAUAGCAGCCAGGAAACGCUCUGAUAAAGCUCUAGAUAGCUGCCAGGUGAUGCCAGAGAUUACUAGUUUUGGGACCAAUUAAAGUAGCAAGAUGCAGCCAGGAGUGGUGGCUCAUGCCUGUAAUCCCAGCACUUUGGGAGGCCGAGGUAGGAGGAUCACCUGAGGUGAGGAGUUUGAGACCAGCCUGACCAACAUGGCGAAACCCUGUCUUUACUAAAAAUACAAAAAUUAGCUGGGUGUGGUGGUGGGUGCCUGUAAUCCCAGCUACUCAGGAGACUGAGGCAGGAGAAUCACUUGAACUCAGGAGGCGGACAUUGCAGUGAGCUGAGAUUGUGCCACUGCACUCCAGCCUGGGUGACAGAGCGAGACAUUGUCUCAAAAUAAAUAAAUAAAUAAAAAUAAAGUAGCCAGAUGCUAGAGAUAUUGAAUUCUGGCAAUGCAGUCAGUCAUAGAUUGUGGGAAAGGAGAUCAUUUUAUUCCAUCUAUUAUUCUAUGUAUGUUCCCAAACUGUUACAAAAAUAAUUUAUUCAAAAUUAGUUCAGAGACUAAUCAUAUAAACAUUUUGUCUGUAAAGUAUGAACAAUUUUUUAUGAAUUUGAUUCCUUUGAUUUUGAUUUUGACAUUGUCUGGACCAGUGGUAUAGUUGAGUCUGUAUUUCCCUACUAUGAUCUACGACCAUUCAUUCUCUUUGCAGGCCCAGCUCAAGGGAGCAGAACUAAGUUACAUGAUUCUGCUGCAGAUGUAUGAGCUCCACUCCAAUAAUUUAUUAUCAUAGUUGGAGACUUUGACUUGUCACUUUAUGACUUGAAAUAUGGCUCCAUGGUAAAUGCCCAUAAAGCUGAUUUUUAAAAUCUGGAUAUUACAGUUCUAAUUCUCACUUAGUUUAAAAGGUAGAAUAGGCUUCUUGUUUCAUAGAUCAUUUGUGUGAAUGUUGAUUUGUCAUGUCAUUGACAUCAUACACACAUGCUUACAUUUUGAAGGUUGCUAGCGUUUCCCAUUAAUGCUUCUGAAUUGAUGCCAAAGGAAAGCAUUGAUUAUAAAUUACGUUCCUUGGUAUUAGUUGGUGCAUGACCCUGACCCUUUUCAAGCUAUAUGAAAGGUAAUGAUGCUCUCAAAAGUCUGCAAAAUGGCUUAUUCAGGAAAGCAUAAUGGAUUAAAAAUCCAUUAGGUUCCACUUUCUUUGCUAGAUGCUGAGAUACAAAGAUAAAUGAGAUUUGGUCUCUGCCCUUGAGGAGAUACGUGGCAAAAUAAUAUGGUAAGUUCUACAAAGUUCUAUACAAACACAGAUUAAUAUGCUAUUCAUAUUUUAUUACCCAUUGUCAAAGAAGGGAUGAAGAACUGCAAAAAGAUAAAACACAGAAUACUUGUACUUCAGGUCCUUGCCAAUAUCUACUGCCCAACUUUUACCAAAAAAAUUGCUGAAAGGCAUGAAAUAUAUGAAUGCCUUUCCAAAGCACAUGUGGAUAAUCUAUACUUCUGGAGCAUCUAUGAUUUAUUUUCAGAACAAUCCAAGUUAUUAGAAAGGUAAAUAUGUGGGUCACAUUGUUUAGAAGUUCCUCAAACAGAAUUGCCUUUACUAUGCUUUGACAUUAUGCUCUCAGCUUAUAUACAGGAAUUCUAUGUGAAACAGUAGCCAGCUUACACAACCUGCUCUAUAUCUACUACAGAGCUGUUACUAAAGUGUUGGUCAACAUAUAACUUACUAUUUCUUAUAUAAAGAUGCCCAAGAAAUUUAGAUUUCAUAGAUAUAUCCCCAAAAGCAUUUCUUUCAAUACCAGUUUAAUGAAUUGAACUUUCAUACCUCACUUAAAUCAACCCAGGGUAAAGUGGUAUGUUCUGUUCUUACAUACAAUGAAAAUCAUGUAACUAAUUAAAGUUAGCAUUUAUUUUAGCUACUAGCGAUGUCAGAGUCAAAUUAACAGCUGAAAAUGAAUAACUACAUAAGACCUUAAGCCUUUUAUAUCUUUUCUUUUUUUAAAAUCACCUUAACUACUGCAAUUUUGGUUUCUCAGGUAAUGAUAAUAUUAUUUUCUUUUAAUUAUUUGUUUUAAUAUGUGACCUCAUGUAAAUGUCCUCAUAAAAUCAGAAGUGGAGU